rnacentral:rRNA from 1 species
GAUGAACGCUGGCGGCGUGCCUAAUACAUGCAAGUCGAGCGAACAGACGAGGAGCUUGCUCCUCUGACGUUAGCGGCGGACGGGUGAGUAACACGUGGAUAACCUACCUAUAAGACUGGGAUAACUUCGGGAAACCGGAGCUAAUACCGGAUAAUAUAUUGAACCGCAUGGUUCAAUAGUGAAAGACGGUUUUGCUGUCACUUAUAGAUGGAUCCGCGCCGCAUUAGCUAGUUGGUAAGGUAACGGCUUACCAAGGCAACGAUGCGUAGCCGACCUGAGAGGGUGAUCGGCCACACUGGAACUGAGACACGGGCCAGACUCCUACGGGAGGCAGCAGUAGGGAAUCUUCCGCAAUGGGCGAAAGCCUGACGGAGCAACGCCGCGUGAGUGAUGAAGGUCUUCGGAUCGUAAAACUCUGUUAUUAGGGAAGAACAAAUGUGUAAGUAACUAUGCACGUCUUGACGGUACCUAAGCAGAAAACCACGGCUAACUACGU